rnacentral:rRNA from 1 species
AUGAACGCUGGCAGCGUGCCUAAUACAUGCAAGUCGAGCGAACGGACGAGAAGCUUGCUUCUCUGAUGUUAGCGGCGGACGGGUGAGUAACACGUGGAUAACCUACCUAUAAGACUGGGAUAAUUUCGGGAAACCGGAGCUAAUACCGGAUAAUAUUUUGAACCGCAUGGUUCAAAAGUGAAAGACGGUCUUGCUGUCACUUAUAGAUGGAUCCGCGCUGCAUUAGCUAGUUGGUAAGGUAACGGCUUACCAAGGCAACGAUGCAUAGCCGACCUGAGAGGGUGAUCGGCCACACUGGAACUGAGACACGGUCCAGACUCCUACGGGAGGCAGCAGUAGGGAAUCUUCCGCAAUGGGCGAAAGCCUGACGGAGCAACGCCGCGUGAGUGAUGAAGGUCUUCGGAUCGUAAAACUCUGUUAUUAGGGAAGAACAUAUGUGUAAGUAACUGUGCACAUCUUGACGGUACCUAAUCAGAAAGCCACGGCUAACUACGUG